ensembl:lncRNA
GCCAGAGUAUAUUUAGCAUCCUAAAGAGAUGCGUGCUGUGUUUAAGGUUGAGAAGCCUUGUUUUAUGGUCCUAGUCAUCAGCUUUAUCAUAAUACAGCCUUGGGAGGCUUAUUUGGAUAAUCUCUCAACACUUACGUAUAUUUUGUAUUCUUAUUUCUUUUCUUUUUUUUUGACCAACCAUGUUACCAGGGUUUAGAAGUGAUGCUUCCUGAGGCCCACUUGACUUUGCACUCCAGGAUGUCUGGCUCUAGGGCUGCUGUAACGAACUACUGCGAAACAAGUGGCUUUGUCUCUGCCCUAAAUUCAGUAUGAUUUCAUCUUAAUAUCUUUAAUUACAUCUACAAAGACCGUAUUUCCCAAUAAGGUCACAUUCUGAGAUUGUGUGGACAUAAAUUUGAAGGAGACACUUCAACCCAGUAUAUUGGCUGAAAUUCUGCAAGAGACUAAACAGCAGCCAAGAGGCAAUAAAAAAUCUAAAUGGAUUAGUAUCCUCAAGUCAAGAAAGGAAGAAAUUUUGAGAUCCUGAAAGAAGAAAGGAGUGACAAUGUCUAUUGUUGUUAUGUGUUUCAUUAUAUAUGGAAUUAGAAAUCUGUGUGUGUUAAGAAAAGUGAGUUUUGUAAAUGUGGUGGUGAAAGUGAUAGUAGAGGAGGUUAAACAGUUAUGAGACCUGGAGAAGUCUGUGUAAAUCUCAACAUACAUAAGCAUUCUUGCUGUAUGUGUGCAUAUGUGUGUGUAUAUGUAAUAUAUAUGUAGGCCAAUCUUGAACACAUUUGGUACUCCGUCAAUUCAGUUGUGAUUCUAAAAGAAGCAUUUGUACUUUAAGGGCCUGUAAUUGAGGAGUUAAUAAGCUACUAAGAAUUUAAGUCAUCAGAUUUGAAUGCACUCAAAGCUCCUUUUCAAUUGAAGUUGAUUUGAUUUAUACUUAAUUUAUUGUAAAACCUUAUUGCAGUGUAUAUAAAAUAUGCUUCAGUGAAUUUUCAUAUCAAUCACUAUAAGCCAUCAGAGAGGGAUGUGUUCACACUAUUUUCAUUCAUCUGUUACUGAAAAAAAAAAAAAAAGAAAGGAGAUUCUAAAGUUAGCCCUGUGGAAUACCAAAUAAAUAGUAGAUUUAAGUAC